GGUCGAGUGUCAGAAUAAACACCAUCUACUUCCUCUUCCUCAUCACUCCUGCUUCACUGCAGACUCACACAGCAUCUCUGAACCUUCUGACUUAAGCAACAGAAAAAAUGGUUUUUGCUGUACCACUGAGGAUCCUUCUGAUCUGUCUGCUUCACUUUUGUUGGGCUGUAGGUGAGGAUGUGAACCCAAAAAUUCUCAUGGAUAUUGUAAAGAACUUUGAGAAUCAGUUGGGUAACGUAGGACAAUACGCUGUGGCAUUCAGAGUUGAGAAGAACACAUGUCUUGAAGGUUCUGACUAUCCAAGUCAGGACUUACUAACUGCAGUGAAACAAAAAUUUCAGAAAAAUGAGGUUUAUGUGACUGGUAAUCUUAUUGCUGCAAAGGCUGAUAAAGAUAAACAAGACCAUUCAGAGUUUCGCCUGAAGAAUUAUCUGAAGAACAUCUUGAAUGGAAAAGAUGAAUGUGUGGUUUAUUUCACUGUAAAUUCACCCUGUUUGAAUAAAUGUGUAUCAGAAUCUGGGGAAUUCAGCAUUAAAGACAAUCUUGAAAAAUUACAAAAAUAUGAGGGAAUUAAAGCCUUUGCAUUCAAAAAAAUCUGGAGAGAGGAUAAAAAGGAGGCGGUGAUAAACAGACUGAAGGCAAUAGCAUCUGCUUUGCCAUAUUAUCAGUGUGAGAAAAACAAAGCUGAAUGUGAUCGCCUGUAAGUAAUGCUUAUACUUGACAGUUGCUUUUCUCACACAUAGAUGUAGUUUUAUUUAGCUGAGGAUUUUUUUUCUGUUUUAAUUGCAGUAAACAUUAAAAUUUGCAAAUAAAAUCUAUAAUCUGGAAAAUGCAUGAAUUGUGAUAUUGCGUGCUUGAUUAGCUGGCAAUUAUUGUUAGAGUAAACUAAAGUCAGCAUGUCUGCUUACUGCUGGAGCAAAUAAAAAUACAUUUUAUCAAGCAUCA